AAUGGGCGAAAGCCUGACGGAGCAAUACCGCGUGAGGGAGGAAGGCUCUUGGGUUGUAAACCUCUUUUCUCAGGGAAGAAAGAUGACGGUACCUGAGGAAUAAGCAUCGGCUAACUCCGUGCCAGCAGCCGCGGUAAUACGGAGGAUGCAAGCGUUAUCCGGAAUGAUUGGGCGUAAAGCGUCCGCAGGUGGUGACUCAAGUCUGCUGUUAAAGGUCGGGGCUCAACCCCGAACGAGCGGUGGAAACUGGGAUGCUAGAGUGCGGUAGGGGCAGAGGGAAUUCCUGGUGUAGCGGUGAAAUGCGUAGAGAUCAGGAAGAACACCGGUGGCGAAAGCGCUCUGCUAGACCGAGACUGACACUGAGGGACGAAAGCUAGGGGAGCGAAUGGGAUUAGAUACCCC
rnacentral:rRNA from 1 species